UGGAAGCUGUGUAGGUACUAGUCCCAGCAGUCAUGGAGGCAUCCUGCUCUGCCCCAAUCAUUCCAUAACUACUCUCUGGCUGCUCACUUGCCAUGACAACUUGUGAAGGUACUGCAAACUCACACACCUCAUUCUCUCUGUACAUGUUCUGCACAUCCUGUUCUUGCAGUCUGUAUUCCUCACCUGGUCCUGGGUUGCAACUGAACUUGUCAUAAUACAUGUCGUAUCCAAAAAGGUUGAAGUAUUGAUCUAUGUUGUUGGUACAAUUGUUGUCUUCAGAAUCUCUUUCCAGCAGGAGCCAAGAGUCCACCUCCUCUCCCUCUUCCUUGUCACCGUAGACAGUGGUAGCAGCUUCCGCCUCUGCGAAAACAGAGGCUGCUGGAAUGGCAACGGCUGGGAGUGGCAGCACAGGCACUCGUUGGUGCCUCUGAGCAAUUGGGUUAGCAGAGUGCACCUGUGCAUCACAGGUGGUACACAGUGCUGCGGAAUCUGCAUGGCAUUCAAGCACUGCGGCUGCACUCUCACAGGAUACACAGACACGCACACGCUCAUGGGACGAUGCCAAACGAUUAGCAGAAUGAACCUGUGUGUCACAUGAUGCGCAGAGAUAUGCAGCAUCAGCAUGGCAGUAUACUGCGCUUGGUGCUGCAUGACAUCCAUCGCAUGGCCUGGCCCAUGGAUAACUUCUCCUUUUGGCUUCCUGCUCGAAAAGGUCACAAUUGAAAUCACAAUUCAUUAACAUAUAAACCUUGCAACUCGUAGGUGGAGAGGUCCUAGUGAAGAUUGUGGCUAGUAUAUAGUGUGUCUAUUCAUCUGCGUAUGCAUCUCCUCCUGUUCUUCUGUCUCUCAUGGCCUUUGUUCUUCUAUUUGAACUUAAUUGGGAGUGAAUGGGUGGGAGCAGUCAGUGUUGGAAUUUCAGUGUGCAGUACUAAUAGGAGGGUGGCAGCGGAAUCCAGUGAAUGAGAAGUGGCGUACUGGCGUCAUUCGAGGGGGCGAGGAAUGCUGCAUGUGUAUCUUGUGGUUGUCUGUGGAUAUUUGUGUUAUGCUGGUCAAUCCUCAAAUGCUACAUCAUUUUUUUGAUAAGCAUUUGCUGCAAUUUGUCGCACCCAUUAUUUUUUUGAGAAUAAAAGGCUUGGGUAACUGAAUUAGUGUUAAUACAUUUAUAAAAACCCAUUAUUUGGAGACUUAUUAAUUUUUACACAUUAUGUUGAAGUUGAGUUAUGUUCCCAUUAGUUUAUAAACCCAAAGAUAAGAAGAAUUAGAAGGUACUUCGUAUAAGAAAAGCAAACAAAGUGUGGAAGAUGCUCCUUGGUCUCUUUCUGCAUAUCUUUUGCAAAAGAGAAAUGAAGGAAGGGUCUACCGGAUUCCAAAGUUUGAGGUUUUGGGCCAUUCGUUGGCACAUCCUUUAGAUGUUCUACCUUUUGGAACCUUAGCAAGAGGAAGGAAGUGGAGAUACAUGAGAAAGGUUUUAAAGCACCCUGCCAUGUCACUAGAUAGUUUCUUUAGGACUGUAUAUAUCUGCAAAUAUCUUAAGGUGAUGUUCAGUGCAGGAAAUGAAUUUACUGGCAUCUUUUACAUUUUCUUAGAUGGUGUUAUUCAUAUGAAUUUGGUUUUCAAAUCUCUAUCUGAUCUCUUUCAUGACUAAGCUAUCUGUUAUUUAAAAUCCUGUUAACUUCCGCUACUGCAACGCUAGCCUUAAAAUGACUGUUUUUUGUAGGUUGAAGUCUUGGAAUAAAUUGGCUGAGAGACUACCUAUGAUUCAUAGUUUGAUGUUGGGUGGUCGAUACAGUUUAGCUUUACAAAUAGGGUCUUGUUGAUUGUGGGACGCUAAUACUAUGUUUCUAUUUUGAGAUAGGGUGGCCAAGGUGGGUAUUUGCAUAAUCCCUUCAUCAUUGAGUAAAUAACUAUCUUGGGCGUUGUAGCUAAAAAGUCUGUCCACCUGAAGUUCUGAUUUCUAAACAAAGCUCAAGUCUGCCGACAAACUUAUAUGGGACAUACUGGAGAAGCUUACAGAUUUAUACUGUUCAUUUAUACGAACUAUGCUUGUCACAUAUAGUGGCAGUACUGUGAUAAUCUUUGCCUAUAUGUAGUCCGUAUGAAUGCAGCUAAAAGAAACCAGUAACAUUAUUUUUCUGAAUGACAUAACUUUGAACUAAUAUAUGUUUACCAUAACCGUGCCUUCAGUGAUAUUGUAACUUGUAAGUCUAUUCUCUAUUUGCAAUUUAGUGUAUGAAAGAAUAUUAUCAAGUUCUAUUGUCUGUAUAAAUAUAUAGAUAGAUGAUUCUAGAUGUAUGAUAUGUGAAGUGUCAUAUGAUGAACACUCUACUGAGUGUCCUUUUCUCCCCCAAAUGCUUUUGCUGGAUUGGAAUUGGAUUACAACGUGCGAUGUGAUGAUGUGGCUCGCUCCUCUGCUUUGUGUUGCACCCACUUGUUUAUAAGAUUAUAUCAGGGUGAUCUGACCCAUUAUCUACCCUUUGACAGGGGUUCUCCUAGCCUCUUCUGCUCAUAUUACCUCACUUAUGUGGGUGUGAAUGACAUGGCUGCCAAGGAUACAUCACUGCAGAACAUGUCUGAACCAUGGCUAUGAAUUUUAUGAUAGGUGUCAAUAAGUUUAAUGCAUGUCCUUACAAAAUAAUAUUUAGUACCAUGCUACCUUUGAACAGAUUUAGUUCCUUAGUUUUGGCCGUAGGCAAUACUGGACACAAUCCCCAGUAAUUUCAAGAUGACAUCCAGUUACAGCCCUUUUUCUGAGGAAUACCUCUGGCAUCCUUGAUGGUGGUGGCAACAACAUCAGGGUCAUGGAGGACUGCACGCCAUCAACUUUGACGAUACCUACCUUGAUUCCCUCAUAAGAGGUGAGCGCCUCUUGAACUUCGACCAGGAGAUGUGGUUUCACAGAUUCUAGCUUCCACAUUCUGUGGUGGAGAUGGAUAAGAUCACCGACCCUGCUGGUGGAACAUAGUAUGUGGUUGUUUUGUGCUUGUUCUUCUGUUUAGCCUGCUGUAGUUGAUGCAGAUAUUUUUUUCCUUUUUUGACGGAACUUUUACAGAUCUUUGUCACCGAAUUAUGAUGUUAGGUUGCAUGGAGACAGCAGUUCACAUAACAUCUUCAUUGCUCUCUCUCGAAAGAUUUUCUAUGUUCGACAUAUCAAAUUGAAGUAAGUUGACAAGUGUUUUGGAGCUCUGUAUCAAUGUGAAGGCAAUAUGAUGUUGGCAGUCAGGUCGUUGCAAUCCAACAGCAACAGUUUUUACAAAACUAAAACCAAUGAAAGUAGAGUAAAGAAAGUGGUAGGGGGAAAAGAACCAAAACUUGCAGCUACAAAACUAUUGCACCGUCACCUUUAUUGUACAAACAGUUUACAUAAUCUGUUAAUGUAAUAUACCAGCCUAGGUAGCUAGGUUGUGAACUUUUCUGAUCUUUGUACAGUUAAAGUUAAUCUGGGACCUGCUCCACUUCCUGACAGACUGCAUCAGCAGAUGCUAACUUCAUUGUGUUAUUUGCCAUUUUAUGCAGGUUCGUUUCUUCUGUACAGGUCCUGCUGGAAACAACUGACGAUGUUUCUUGCCUUUCAUGGCCUAUCAUGGUGUCAUCUUGGUCCAGAGAGCUCAACUGCCUGUACCAGCAAUGACGAAUCGUCCGUCAGGUCGGAGUAGCAGCGCCCGAAGGUGAACUCGGGCACCUUGAAAUUGUGUGAGUCGCUACGUUGCGAUGCCUCCCACCGCUCUGCGAGCCCAUCGCCUUCGAGCAUCCUGACCACUUCUGACAUCUUAGGCCUGUGACCCGGGAGAUACUGGGUGCACAACAGCGCCACCUGCACCAUCUCCUCUAGCUCAAUGCGGUCGUAACUGCUCCCAAGUCCCUUAUCAACAAGCACGUUGAGAUUCUUCUCCUGAUGCAUCUUUUUCACCUGAGCAGAAGCCAAUGCCACAUUAAGUCCCCAGUCUGUCCAGUGAUCAGCUCGAGCAACAGGAUCCCGAAGCCGAAGACGUCGGUUUUCUCAGAUGACUGGCCCGUGGAGAGGUACUCUGGGGCAAUGUGGCCUACAGUGCCCCUCACGGCUGUGGUGACAUGCGAGUCACGGUGGUCUAGAAGCUUAGCAAGCCCAAAAUCUCCGACAAUUGCUUCACAGAAGUCAUCGAGCAAUAUGUUCGCUGCCUUUACAUCCCUGUGGAUGAUCUUGGGGUCACACUGCUCGUGCAGGCGUGAUGCAACACUUCCAUUUGACAUGCACGGAUAGACCAGUAGCCUCUCGGUGGCAGUCAUGCAGAACCCACAAAGCCUUAGGAGAUUCCGGUGCACCGCCAAGCUGAUCAUCUCGACUUCAGUCUGAAACUGCAACUCCCCGCCAGCGGCAUUUCCAUCUUUCAGCCUCUUCACAGCUACUAUAGUUCCAUCUGGGAGCUUCCCCCGAUAAACAUUUCCAAAACCGCCUUUUCCUAUUAAGUUCUUGCUGCUGAAGUUCUCUGUUGCAGCCUGGAGCUCUCUGAACUGAAACCUCUUCAGGUUUUCAAGAUUGACAUUCUCUAUGUGUUGGUCUGCAAAGAAACCAACGCACUCAGUAAAUGAUUCUAUAUAGUUCCACAAGCAUUCUGCCGUUAUAAAGCUCGACGAGUUAGCCUUUUAUAUUACUUACCAUCAACAUCGAAAAGAAUCUGCCGAUUUUUCCUAUGCCUCCACCAGAACAGCAAUCCCGUAACAAGGAAGAGGACGCUGAUGCAGCCUAUUGUAGAACCAAAUGCAAUUGCAGCUCUGUGGCCCUUAGAUUUCGCUGGAAUUGGAGUACCUUUGGCAAAAAACAGAAGUUAGUACAACAUUUGUCUUACUGAUUUAUAUACCAGUUCAUGACAAAAUCGAUCGGCGGUGCACAGGGUUGAGUAACUGGGCAUACCUUGUGUAUUAUUCAGGCUGUAGGACAUCGGCAUCGGUAAAGUUCCAUAACAAUCUUGUUCCUUGGCUGCUCCACAGAUCAGUGGAUUCCCUACUAUGCUGCAAGAAAAUAAAUUCAAAGUUUCUAUGGUGAAUAUAUUUCCACCUUAGAUGGUACUUUGGUUAAAGUCAGAAUGACACGGGGCUGAAGCCUUACUUGAAUGUCCUCGCCAAAGACCCUGGAACUGGACCGCUCAGAUUAUUAUAGGACAAAUCCCUGAGGUGGAAGUCCCACAGUGAGCAACAUUGAUCCAACACAGUACACAAUCACAUAACAGCAAUAAUACUCACAAGAAGACAAGGUGCGACAAAUUAGCCGAUGAAGCUGGGAAUGCGCCAGACAGUGUAUUGUUGUUGAGCCUCCUAGUACAGUAGAGCAGUGACAAACAAUCAGAACAGCUACUGGCAUCAUGGGUCUUCAGGAGCAGGCCAUGAAUGGGAAACCUCCAUAAUGCCAUUCAAGGCUGGUACAGUAGAAGAGAAGUGCACUCACAAGUAUUGGAGGUUCGUGAGGCGGCUCACGGAGCUGGGGAUUUCGCCAGAUAACUGGUUGCUGGAGAGAUCAAGCGUCUUGAGCCUUGUCAGCCUGCCAAUCUCCGGGAUUCGCCCGUUGAUGUUGUUGUUCUGCAGCAGGCUGUAAACAAAAAGCGGAAGAGCAAAAGGUAAGAUCUCUUGCCUACCCAAAAGAGUAAAAGCAGCAUAUGUAGUGGUGGGUUUGCAAGGCUAAUAAUCAUGGCAAGGAAAACUCACACUAUCUCAAGAUUGGUCAAAUUCGCUAUGCUCGGGGAGAGCAGGCCAGACAGGUUCUGGCUCGGAGCUUCUCUGCCAAAUUGACACAGCCAGGUGACCAUGGUCCAGCUGCAAGGAUCCACGGAGUCUUGGUCCCAGUUCUUGAGCACGCCAUGGGGAUCCUUGAGGCAGUUCUUGAUCAUCAUGAGGGCUUGCACUGCGAGUGCAAACAGAACAGAGAUUGUCACACACGAAUGCAAGAGGAACAAACAGAGGAGGCCCAAUAGCUUGGUGUUCUUGGUCCGGGAGAAGGAUACGGACAAAGCAUCGAGCACCAAUGCAAGAACAGGAAACAAAAUCCAAGAGGGCUCUUGAUUUGAGAGAGGAAUAUUAACUUAACUAACCUUCAUAGUUUACACCCUUGGGGGAGAGGAGACCGUUGGCCGGCGCGGGAGGGAAGGAGAAGAAGAGAAGCAGCACCAAGGAGGAAGCAGCGAGAACCGCCAUUAAUCCGCCAGGGAAAGCAGGGGCUCUAGGACUAGGAGCUUCUUGUGUGUUCAAACAUGGAAGCAAGCAAGGGUGAGGCCAAGGAAAAGAAGCACGCAGCCUUCUCUUCUCGCACACACAAGCAGCCGAGUGGCACUCCAGUUGCAGUGGGCGGGGGAGGGGAGGCCCGCUGAGGUUUUGUCAGUAGCAAAUGACACAAAAGAAGAUGCCUGUGCUCUGGUUUGAAGCAAAGGUACAAAAGGAGGGAACAGACAUGCCUGCCGCCGGGUCCCACGCCUUGGGGUAGAAUAUUUCGAGGGGCAAAGGAGGGGCCUAAAAUUCUUCUUUCCCACCAUUUUCUGCCCCUCCUUGGGGCCUGUGAAAAAAACUCAGGCAGUGGAAAACAGUGACAGCGUGCUGUGAACUUGAGAGUUGAGAGGGUCUAUCUAGCUAGGCUAAUCUCGUGUUAAAAGAUCAGAUUAGCAUUGAUCCCAUCCGAGAAAGACAUGCGCUUUAUCGGAGUGUGGUGUGUGGCUGUCACAGGCCACCACGGCAGACACCUUUGAGGGAUUCUUGCCACGAAAGAAUUCCCCGAGCUGGACAAUUAGCUUGGGACGCGUGUGUGUGGCAAUUCUAUUGGGGGGCGAUAAACAAUGGAUCGAAAGUAUCUUUAGUUGGAGGAAGCCAGGAUAAUGACAGGGAGGAAGCGCCUCUAACACUGACCUGACCUGAAGUGGAGGCACCGGGGGCAAAUGGACAAGGGAAUUUUGGCCAUCACGCAUUGUGGAUGAAGAAUCAGGGAUCGGAUUAAAGAGCACAUAUAAUCCCAGUAGUGACGAGAAAGAUGAACGCAACACGCCCUGCCGCGGUUGGUCGUGUCGCCACAUCAGUUUGUACCAGUUCAGUUGGCAUCAUACUCCUCUAGACUAGAUAAAACUACAUACGUACACUCAAGUGGAGGCAUCCCUGCUUUUUAUUCUGAUGGAUUGUCAGGUAUCAAUUAACACUGAAGGCUGAAUAUGAAAAUCCAUCCCCCAUACUUGGCCAUGUCAUGUCAUGGUACUUGCGGUUCAGGGGCAGGAUAUGCAUAUGCAGAAGAGUGGUGUGUAAUGAGACGGGAGAAGGCGAGACGGCCAUGCUCCUCCCCUCUUUUAGGGCCAGAAAUCAUUGCAGUCUACCUAGCAUGGAAGACGUGACCUCUCUUUCCCAGUGAAAUGAGGUGUGCUUUGCUACCUUUGCCCCCCUACACCUUUUCUCUUUUCCUCCACUGCUUUUCUCCCUUGUGUGUAUGUGUGCAAGUGCUAACCGGCCGUGCAGAUCAGGUAUGAUACGAAGAUGGCAAAAACGUACACGGGACCAUCAAAAGACGAUCUCUGGGUUUAUCCUUACGGACAUGGACACUCGUAUGGCGUUCUCCAGAAAAUGGCAGCAUAAUUAUUGAGUAACCUCAGUUAAACUUGAUGCACUAGCACAACUUAUUAUGCAUGUCUGGUAAAGCUCGAAGCGUGGGGCGUAAAUCAUAAUUGUUGCUGCUUCACUUGCCCAAAUCUGAAUUUCCUUCCUCCUCUGCUCUGCAUGAUUAGCUUCGCGCUUUAUAGAGAUGAGCCUUUGGUAUAUGUUAGUACA